ACAUACAACUGUUGGGCAACGAAAGGUC
rnacentral:piRNA from 1 species